rnacentral:rRNA from 1 species
UACGUAGGGUGCAAGCGUUGUCCGGAAUUACUGGGCGUAAAGAGUUCGUAGGCGGUUUGUCGCGUCGUUUGUGAAAACUCACAGCUCAACUGUGAGCCUGCAGGCGAUACGGGCAGACUUGAGUACUGCAGGGGAGACUGGAAUUCCUGGUGUAGCGGUGAAAUGCGCAGAUAUCAGGAAGAACACCCGUGGCGAAGGCGGUUCUCUGGGACGGUACUGACGCUGAGACGCGAAAGCGUGGGGAGCGAACAGG